GUGAAGAACGAGCGAAAUGCGAUAAGUAAUGUGAAUUGCAGAAUUCAGUGAAUCAUCGAAUCUUUGAACGCACAUUGCGCCCGCCAGUAUUCUGGCGGGCAUGCCUGUUCGAGCGUCAUUUCAACCAUCAAGCCCCCGGCUUGUGUUGGGGACCUGCGGCUGCCGCAGGCCCUGAAAACCAGUGGCGGGCUCGCUGUCACACCGAGCGUAGUAGAUUUUCAUCUCGCUCAGGGCGUGCUGCGGGUUCCGGCCGUAAAAAGCCUUAUUUACCCAAGGUUGACCUCGGAUCAGGUAGGAAGACCCGCUGAACUUAAGCAUAUCAAUAAGCGGAGGA
rnacentral:misc_RNA from 1 species